rnacentral:misc_RNA from 1 species
AAAAAGAUUUUUACUUUUCCUCACUUUACAAUGAACAACAAAGAAUUGACUACUUGUGAAGUUAAGCUAUGCUAAUCCUUGCCGGUUCUAGCGUAUAAAAGCUCCAUUGGACCGUGCAGCGGGGCUGCAUAUCUUCAUGUGUGCUUCAUCAAGGCCAAUUCAGUUGCUCCCAUUCCCAUACUGGUGGUACUAAACCAUCAACCAUCUCCCAGUUGGCACUUCCUUCUGCCCCUGAGGCAUCAGCAUGAUCUCCUCCCGAGUAUGAAGUCUCAGAUGAGCUUGUGUUGUCCACAGUUCUAGUGUCUUGAGCAGGUGUUGCGGCUGUAAGACGAAGAAGCUGAGUGUCUCUUGCUGCAGCUUCUAGCGGACGCCUGUCAAAUGCUCGAAAACUUCCUGAUAUUACAUAGACUCGGCACAAGCUGAAUUCAUGUCUCAACAUAGGAACAGCAGUAUGGGAUGAGUCAGCUACUCCGUCUAUGGCUCUAUACUCAUGCAUCUUCCAUUUGGUUUUUUUACCUGUUGGAGCUUUCCCCUUAUAGAAAACCAUGGUUUUCUUCACUCCAAUCACCCGGUUAUCAGAUGAGUAAACAUAACCAGGGGAGCCAGUAGCCUUCCAGUAUCCAGUUACCGUAGUGCGGCUGGGUCUGCCCCCUCUCAAUUCUCUUUCUUGUCUUGGUGUGAAGAAGAACCACUGCUCAGUGUCUGCUUGACACCGUUCUCCUGCAAGCUUUGGGAGAUUCCAUGGCUCUGUGUUGUAAAUGUUGAUUGCUGGGAUAACGCGGUCUAGUUCCUGUCUCUUCCCUUCCAGCUUGUUAUGCAGAUAGAAGGAAACUAGCUCUUCUUCUGUUGGAUAGAAGCGAACACCUGGUGGAAGUUCCUCCAUUCCUGUUUUAAUUGUUGUU